ensembl:lncRNA
AGAAAUCCACCGACUGGUCACGAGCAAAACGGAAGCAAGGAAGACACCCGUGAUGUCGCCAUCGUCGCUCGCGCUCAGCAGCGGAUGAACCGAAUGACCCUGAACGGGAACGGAGAGCUACGCAGACGAGUUUUGCGGCCAGGCAGAGACGUGAAGGGACUGUAUCCUGGACAGCUAGCCAGAGCUCACAUCAUUCCCUCACCACCAUGGCAGAGGAUGAACCUGAUGAGCGUAAAGUGUCCACCAGAGGAAGAGCAAACAUACCAGCGGAGCUUCGACCUUAUCACGCUACAGGCCCUGGAGAUGAG